rnacentral:snoRNA from 1 species
AGGGGAUUUUUCUCUAAUAUUUAUUGUAGGAAUCUCACUGAGCUCCUAGAGGUAAACUUCACAAUAUUUGGGGAGCCCCCU